rnacentral:lncRNA from 1 species
UGGUGCUGGGCUGUGCCAUCAGUUGCGAGAAAAAGCAGGACCACAUCCAGAGAAUCAUGACGCUGGAAGAAUCGGUUCAGCAUGUGGUGAUGGAAGCCAUCCAAGAGCUCAUGACCAAAGACACUCCUGACUCCCUGUCACCAGAGACGUAUGGCAACUUUGACAGCCAGCCCUGCAGGAGCAGGGGGGCAAGACUGAAGAUUCCAUUUUGCUGAAAAGGAAGCUGGAGGAACAUUUGCAGAAGCUUCAUGAGGCAGAUCUGGAGUUGCAGAGGAAGCGGGAGUACAUUGAGGAGCUGGAGCCACCCACUGACAGCAGCACAGCCCGGCGGAUCGAGGAGCUGCAGCAUAACUUGCAGAAGAAGGACGCGGACUUGCGGGCCAUGGAGGAGCGAUACCGCCGCUACGUGGACAAGGCCCGCAUGGUCAUGCAGACCAUGGAACC